GCAUAUUACUGUUUUCUAAAAUAUCUAAAUUCUGUCUUUGCCAAACAGGGCAACAAGAAAUUUUCACAGCUCAAACUAGUAGAAAUUAAUACCAGAGACAGAAAUACUAUCAGUGAAGUCAUAAAGGAAGACACAGACUCCAGAUGGAAGGACUCUCGGACGCGCAGAACUGAAGUUUAGCUGAAGAGGAUCUUUAAAAGUGUCAGCAGGAGGGAGCCCAUGGAUGCCAAACUAACCCCAUCUCUGCAGCCAGUUGGGCCACCACAUGAAAACAGGAUUCUUGCUUCUGGAUCACUCACAGAGCUCCAUUGUCCAGGUCGAAGCAGCAGUUGAUGCKACACGGAGAGACAAGCCAAGGGGCCCUUGCUCAGGU